rnacentral:rRNA from 1 species
AUUGAACGCUGGCGGCAGGCCUAACACAUGCAAGUCGAGCGAGCGGCGGACGGGUGAGUAAUGCCUGGGAAACUGCCUGAUGGAGGGGGAUAACUACUGGAAACGGUAGCUAAUACCGCAUACCAUCAGAUUUGCACAGAUGGGAUUGGCUGGUGGGUGGGGUAACGGCUCACCUAGGCGACGAUCCCUAGCUGGUCUGCGGGGAUGACCAGCCAAACGGGAAUUGGGACACGGUCCAGCUUCCUACGGGAGGCAGCAGUGGGGAAUAUUGCACAAGGGGCGAAAGCCUGAUGCAGCAAUGCCGCGUGUGUGAAGAAGGCCUUCGGGUUGAAAAGCACUUUCAGCGGGGAGGCGUUACCCACAGAGAAAGCACCGGCUAACUCCGUGCCAGCAGCCGCGGUAAUUC